rnacentral:misc_RNA from 1 species
AGUUGAUGAUGGGACUGCUCAAUACUAGUGUAAUUCAAAUGGUGACUCCCGGGCUGCUAUCAGAGAGCUCUCCGCAGACCUAAGUGGGAGGGGCAAGCAGGGUUGGGCAAGUUAGAAAUCUGAAGUUGAUGAUAAAUUGAACAUAGAGAAACAUAAAGAAUUAUCACUCUGGUUUGGAGUUUUCACACUUCAUUUCUCCUCAAGAACAUCUUGUUGUGUAAGCAAAGUGCAAGCCUUAAUAUAUUCAUAUUCAUGUCCCCUAUGGGAAUUACUCCUUGAUUCAGUAGUUGUGAGUCUCUUUCUUUUGCAAUGUAGGGCAAGUAAUAGAUUUUUCGCUUGGUUUGGCCUACUUUAACUGCUUCAUUUUCCAUUGCUUUAUCUUACCAAUGUCUUAAGCUAA